rnacentral:lncRNA from 1 species
AUGUCCACUGUCAUUAAGGCGUGUAAUGAGGCAAAGACUCCUAUUCUCAAGAAAUUUUAUUACGUUUCUAAUGGAGCGAAGAAAUGGAAUGUGGAAUCCUUUUCAUCCUUGAAGGAUGAUAUAAUCCAAUUAGAAAACAUUGUUGUUAGCUUUCAAAAACACGGAUUCGACACCGACGACAGGGGUGUUCAGAGAGAGACCAAAACGGGGCAGAGCCGGGCGAAAAAGCCGACUGCACGAGGAGAAUGUUGGCCGCGGUCUCCGUACUGCGGCGCAUUAAGGCUCAUGAACCCAAUCAUUGACGUCCAUAUAGAAGAAAACCCUGAUGAAGCCCCAGCAGUGUCAUCGCCUGAGAGCAGCUGCCACGCUUCAAUUGCGAGUACCGACGAGGAAGAAGAUAGCAUAUCCGGUGAAGAUGGGAAUGAGGAAUCCGUUACAAGUGAUGGUGUUGGAGGCACCUCACAACCACAAAAAUCAUGGGAGGAAUACGAGGCGGAAGUUGACUACAAUGCCAAACUAAUGGAUGUAGCUCGGGAUGCUAUACAAUCCUAUAACAGAAAGAAGGCAGCGGUUUCAUCCAAUAUCAUGUCGGACACAUCUUCUGAAAAGGUUUUGGACCUGAAUGUCGACGAAGAAACCGCAAUAUUAGAUUUUGUUUCCAAAAAAAUUCUCCGCCCGAAGGAAAUUCGCGACAUUGAAGAAAUGAGUAGUGUGGAGUCGGGAAAGAGAAUCGAUAAUUAUCGUGCACUGGCCCUCCCCUCAAUCGAAACUGAAGGAAUCAUUUGCUGAGUAAACAAAAUUAGUGAUGAACAUAAGUUCAACCGAGCUGUCUCGGUGCUCCUUCAAUCCUUGUAACCAGCUGCCUCAAAACAUGCCAAAACGCACACAUUUGCCGACACUGGUAUUUGAAGGCGCGUUAUGGCGCGCAGGAUUAUGCAAAGACGUGCACUUGCUGGAGUACACAACUCCAGUUUCAUUGCUCCAGGGAAUCUGCGGACCCAAAGUCUGUCAUCGGUGUCAAACUCGCCCUUAAUGUAAACAAACAAACGGCGACAUAGUCCGAACUCCAACGGCACUAGGUAUGGUAUUGGGGAAUACUGGUUUUGAUGUAGCUUAAUAUCUAUAUUAUUCUACCUCUCCUCUAUUACUAAAUUAUAUCUUAUUUUAUGUUUAUUAGUAAAUAUUUAUAACUAAAUUAUAUAUUUAAUAAUAUUAUAUUAUCAAUAAUUGUAUAAAUUAUUUCUAUACUUUUUUAUAUAUUUACUGUAUAAUCACUGUACUCCUAUUGUGGGGAGGGAGGACAGUGCUUAUACUGUAUUAAAAUACCCUUUCUAGGGGUUGCCCUAUAUAAUAAGAAUAUCAAAAUUUUAAACCUUCUUUUAAAACAAGAUAUAAUUUCUAAGUAAUUUAAAUCAUCGUCUUUUUCAGUUAUGCCAUUGUGAUUACAGGAGGAGAGAGCGGCACUGAAUGACCCUUUCCUCAGUCCAAAUUUAGUCGUUACAACCCUUGAAGAUGCAGGGAGAAUAGUUGAGGAAGGAAGAAUGGAUGAGAUGCAUAUGCCUUCAACGUCAAAGAGCACUAUCUCAAAUAUCCCCAAUCAGAAACCGUUGCAAGGCACGGAGAUGAAUGCCUAGUAAUUGAAGAAGAAUCAGUCGAGGAGAAUCAGUUGAGGAUACACAAAUGCAUUCAACGUCAGAAAGUGCUAUUUCAAAUUUCAAACGUUAGAGAGUCAUCGUUCGAAUUUCCCCUGGUGUACGUCUAAAUUAGCAGCCUCCUUCUCCUCCUGCGAGGUUCCAAAACAAAGAGUUCUUACUUUUCCGGCAACUUGUUUGAAAUGUUACCAUAAAUUGGAAUGCUUAGUCAAUGAAAAUGACUGCAAAAAAUUAACCGCUGCGGAGAAAGAUACCAAGUGUCAUGAUAUUAAUGUUCCAGAUAUGGAAAUUGUUUUUGAUGAAUACAUAGAUCUUACUGAAGUAUCCCCACAAGCACAAGUGAAUGCAAUUGAGAAUACAAGAAAAUGUGAGAAUGAAGAAAAAAUGAAUUUAAACUUAUUCAGCCAACAUUAACUUAUGAAAAGAAAAAUACUUACGAACGACGAUUCUUCCCGAAAAGUUUGUGAAUAGUUUGAACAUACUUGCUUUGACGAGCUGUUUUAAAUGAACUGAUUUGCUUUCAUCUAAUAGUCACUUGAAAAAAACAGCUUCUCAAAGUUGAAUCAAUAAUACUUUAAUACUACUAUGGUCUUAAUUUGCUGUAAUAAAGUUAAGGCAGCAUCUCGUAGAUAGCUUCGCACCAAAAUGUGGACUCACUCUAACCAAGAUCUAAUGUUUCCUCAUUCGAUUUUGAGAUAUAGCUUAGUUACCUCGGAUACGGGCUUUUCAAAUUUAAUGAGGGGCUUAAAGGACAAGUGGGACAAAAACACUUUUUGCUAUUUCAAAAAAAACAUAUUAAAAGUUUCAAAAUGACAUCAAGCCCAAUUGAUUAUGGCCCAGAUAUAUAGCCCAGUUCCGCUAUUGAGGCGUUGGAUGCAGAAAGGGCGUUUCUUGGUUGCAGUUUUUCAGAAUUUUCAGCCCUAAUUUUUACUUAAGAGAGGAAUCUAUCUGGUAAAUUUUCUGAAAUGUUACGUUUUCAGCAUUGUAAAGUUAGAGAGAAUGUUCAAUAAUAAUCACGAAAAAUUACAUAUAUUUGCUUCAAUAAUGGAUGAAACGUUAGAGGGGAUUCUAGGACUCUGCAGCCAAGAAAUGUCCUUCCUGCGCCUAGUGCUUUAAUUGCGCUCAGGUAGUGCAGCGACAUAGAGGACCUAGUUAAAAGGGAUAAAGAGGACUUGUCAUAAAGGACUCAAAGACAGUGUUAUCAGUUGACUUCUUAUUUAAUAAUUUGAGCACGCUGGAUUUUCAAUUCAAAUUAUAAAAUUAUGUAACGUC